UGGCCGGUACAGAGAGCAGCCACCCCGCGAGGGGGAGCGAAUCUACAAAACCGGUCUCAGUUCGGAUCGCAGUCUGCAACUCGACUACGUGAAGCUGGAAUCGCUAGUAAUCGCGCAUCAGCCAUGGCGCGGUGAAUACGUUCCCGGACCUUGUACACACCGCCCGUCAAGCCAUGGAAGUCUGGGGGACCUGAAGACGGUAACCGCAAGGAGCCGUUAAGGGUAAAACAGGUAACUAGGGCUAAGUCGUAACAAGGUACC
rnacentral:rRNA from 1 species